GAACGAGAAAGUGGAGCAAUCCAUGAGUAAAGUGGCGACCGGGUGAGUAACACGUGACUAACCUACCUCCGAGUGGGGAAUAACUCCGGGAAACCGGGGCUAAUACCGCAUAACAUCGCAAGAUCAAAGCAGCAAUGCGCUUGGAGAGGGGGUCGCGGCUGAUUAGCUAGUUGGCGGGGUAACGGCCCACCAAGGCGAAGAUCGGUAUCCGGCCUGAGAGGGCGCACGGACACACUGGAACUGAAACACGGUCCAGACUCCUACGGGAGGCAGCAGUGGGGAAUCUUGCACAAUGGGCGAAAGCCUGAUGCAGCGACGCCGCGUGGGGGAUGAAGCUUCUCGGAGUGUAAACCCCUUUCGACUGGGACGAAUGCCUCGCAAGAGGAGUGACGGUACCAGUAUAAGAAGCCCCGGCUAACUACGUG
rnacentral:rRNA from 1 species